CUUGGAUAACCGUGGUAAUUCUAGAGCUAAUACAUGCUGAAAACCCCAACUUCGGGAGGGGUGUAUUUAUUAGAUAAAAAACCAACGCCCUUCGGGGCUUCUUGGUGAUUCAUGAUAACUUUACGGAUCGCAUGGCCUUGCGCCGGCGACGGUUCAUUCAAAUUUCUGCCCUAUCAACUUUCGAUGGUAAGGUAUUGGCUUACCAUGGUUUCAACGGGUAACGGGGAAUUAGGGUUCGAUUCCGGAGAGGGAGCCUGAGAAACGGCUACCACAUCCAAGGAAGGCAGCAGGCGCGCAAAUUACCCAAUCCCGACACGGGGAGGUAGUGACAAUAAAUACUGAUACAGGGCUCUUUUGGGUCUUGUAAUUGGAAUGAGUACAAUUUAAACCUCUUAACGAGGAACAAUUGGAGGGCAAGUCUGGUGCCAGCAGCCGCGGUAAUUCCAGCUCCAAUAGCGUAUAUUAAAGUUGUUGCAGUUAAAAAGCUCGUAGUUGAAACUUGGGUCUGGCUGGCAGGUCCGCCUCACCGCGUGUACUUGUCCGGCCGGGCCUUCCUUCUGGAGAACCUCAUGCCCUUCACUGGGCGUGUUGGGGACCAGGACUUUUACUUUGAAAAAAUUAGAGUGUUCAAAGCAGGCCUUUGCUCGAAUACGUUAGCAUGGAAUAAUAGAAUAGGACGUGCGGUCCUAUUUUGUUGGUUUCUAGGACCGCCGUAAUGAUUAAUAGGGACAGUCGGGGGCAUCAGUAUUCAAUUGUCAGAGGUGAAAUUCUUGGAUUUAUUGAAGACUAACUACUGCGAAAGCAUUUGCCAAGGAUGUUUUCAUUAAUCAGUGAACGAAAGUUAGGGGAUCGAAGACGAUCAGAUACCGUCGUAGUCUUAACCGUAAACUAUGCCGACUAGGGAUCGGGCGAUGUUCUUUUUCUGACUCG
rnacentral:rRNA from 1 species